UACGUAGGGGGCGAGCGUUAUCCGGAAUUAUUGGGCGUAAAGAGUACGUAGGCGGGAGCUUAAGCACAGGGUUUAAGGCAAUGGCUUAACCACUGUAUGCCUUGUGAACUGGGCUUCUUGAGUGCAGGAGGGGAAAGCGGAAUUCCUAGUGUAGCGGUGAAAUGCGUAGAUAUUAGGAGGAACACCAGUGGCGAAGGCGGCUUUCUGGACUGUAACUGACGCUGAGGUACGAAAGUGUGGGGAGCAAACAGGAUUAGAUACCCGGGUAGUCCCUGAGCGGG
rnacentral:rRNA from 1 species